rnacentral:rRNA from 1 species
ACUCCUACGGGAGGCAGCAGUGGGGAAUAUUGCACAAUGGGCGCAAGCCUGAUGCAGCCAUGCCGCGUGUGUGAAGAAGGCCUCGGUUGUAAAGCACUUUCUAGUCGUGAGGAAGGCGGGUACGGUUAAUAGCGUAUUCGUUUGUACGUUAGCGACAGAAGAAGCACCGGCUAACUCCGUGCCAGCAGCCGCGGUAAUACGGAGGGUGCGAGCGUUAAUCGGAAUUACUGGGCGUAAAGCGCAUGCAGGUGGUUUUGUUAAGUUCAGAUGUGAAAGCCGGGGGCUCAACCUCGGAAUAGCAUUUGAAACUGGCAGACUAGAGUACUGUAGAGGGGGUUAGGAAUUUCAGGUGUAGCGGUGAAAUGCGUAGAGAUCUGAAGGAAUACCAGUGGCGAAGGCGGCCCCCUGGACAAAGACUGACGCUCAGAUGCGAAAGCGUGGGGAGCAACAGGAUUAGAUACCCUGGUAGCACAGAG